rnacentral:rRNA from 1 species
UGGGGAAUUUUGGACAAUGGGCGAAAGCCUGAUCCAGCAAUGCCGCGUGUGUGAAGAAGGCCUUCGGGUUGUAAAGCACUUUUGUCCGGAAAGAAAUCCUUGGCUCUAAUACAGUCGGGGGAUGACGGUACCGGAAGAAUAAGCACCGGCUAACUACGUGCCAGCAGCCGCGGUAAUACGUAGGGUGCAAGCGUUAAUCGGAAUUACUGGGCGUAAAGCGUGCGCAGGCGGUUUGCUAAGACCGAUGUGAAAUCCCCGGGCUCAACCUGGGAACUGCAUUGGUGACUGGCAGGCUAGAGUAUGGCAGAGGGGGGUAGAAUUCCACGUGUAGCAGUGAAAUGCGUAGAGAUGUGGAGGAAUACCGAUGGCGAAGGCAGCCCCCUGGGCCAAUACUGACGCUCAUGCACGAAAGCGUGGGGAGCAAACAGGAUUAGAUACCCUGGUAGUCCACGCCCUAAACGAUGUCAGCUAGUUGUUGGGGAUUCAUUUCCUUAGUAACGUAGCUAACGCGUGAAGUUGACCGCCUGGGGAGUACGGUCGCAAGAUUAAAACUCAAAGGAAUUGAC